rnacentral:rRNA from 1 species
GAUGAACGCUGGCGGCGUGCCUAACACAUGCAAGUCGAACGGAACUUCUUCGACAGAAUUCUUCGGAAGGAAGUUGAUUAAGUUUAGUGGCGGACGGGUGAGUAACGCGUGAGUAACCUGCCUUUGAGAGGGGAAUAACUUCCCGAAAGGGAUGCUAAUACCGCAUGAUGCAUAGAAGUCGCAUGGCUUUUAUGCCAAAGAUUUAUCGCUCAAAGAUGGACUCGCGUCCGAUUAGCCAGUUGGCGGGGUAACGGCCCACCAAAGCGACGAUCGGUAGCCGGACUGAGAGGGUGACCGGCCACAUUGGGACUGAGACACGGCCCAAACUCCUACGGGAGGCAGCAGUGGGGAAUAUUGCACAAUGGGGGAAACCCUGAUGCAGCGACGCCGCGUGAGCGAAGAAGUAUUCGGUAUGUAAAGCUCUAUCAGCAGGGAAGAAAAAAUGACGGUACCUGACUAAGAAGCCCGGCUAACUACGUGCCAGCAGCCGCGGU